GACGUAGGAUGCAAGCGUUGUCCGGAAUUAUUGGGCGUAAAGAGUUCGUAGGCGGUUACUUAAGUCUGGUGUUAAAGACGGGAGCUCAACUCCCGCAUGGCAUCGGAAACUGGGUGGCUAGAGUGUGGUAGAGGUCUCGGGAAUUCCAGGUGUAGCGGUGAAAUGCGUAGAUAUCUGGAGGAACACCGGUGGCGAAGGCGGCGUCCUGGCCUGCGACUGACGCUGUGGCGCGAAAGCUAGGGGAGCGAACGGG
rnacentral:rRNA from 1 species